rnacentral:tRNA from 1 species
ACUCUAAUAGUUUAUGCAAAACAUUGGUCUUGUAAGCCAAAACUGAAGGAUCCCUUACCCUUCUUAGAGUG